UUCCGGAUAAGUACGGUGAUUAAUGUUACGAGAGUUUUCGCGACUCGUAAAAGUCGGCAUACGUAAGAGAAAGCGGCGGCGGUCUUUUUACACCGAGGGUGACCCUCUGUCCCGGCAGAGAGGAGGGCGCGACGCCCCCGCUGGGGGGAUAACACUCGCGGCAUAUCGGCACGACAAAUUUAUCGCGGUGUUAAGCCGUUAAUAUUCGCCCGCCUUCCACGGUCGCCAGGCUUUAAAUCAAUGGGAAAUAUUCCUAAUUGGAAUAUGGAAAAAGUUGGCCCAAGUGCGCGCCCGACGACGACGACGACGACGACGACGGGGGUGCCCCGGCCGCGCGAGUCGCAUUAAAGGAUAAGAAUAUAAAUUAUCUUAACGAGUAGUGGCGCACAGUCGAGAAAAAAUGGCAAGAAGUUUCCGAUUAAGGCGCGGAUCGCACGGACGUGUAUUGAGCUACAGACUGCGCGAGUUAUUGACGACGCGAAAAAAGUUCGGCACUUCCGAGAGGGGGUUUCGCCCCCGGAGGCUGUCACCCUCGUCGAAUGUUAAUUGCAACAACCGGCUGUUGCACGACCGACUGUCAAAUCGGCCAACUUUCCGCGAAUAAACGAGCACAUGAGGUAUACAAAAGAAGGAACGCUCGCGCGACGCCAAAGCGCCGUUCGUACCGCGAAAAUGUGUCGACCUGAUCAUAGUUCUUCGUUAUUUCCAUCGGGAUUCAGUGUUACGCGAAGUCUCGGCUCGCGAUGAGCUUUGUUAAUCGAGCUUCGCGUGUGUCGUCGCGAUGAAAAGUGACAAAAUUCGACGGAGUGAAUGACACUAAAUCGCAUCGAACUACUCGAACCGACAUCGAAACUAAGGCGAAAACCAAAGCCAAAGUGAAAUUACAGGUCGCCGGGGUGCUUUGGAAGAGUCGGGAAUCGGCGAGGCGCUGAGUAUUAUUUGGCGCGGGGCGACGCGACGCGAGAGCGGCUGUGUACGCGGCACGCGGCGAGCGACUGACUCAACGGCUCCGCGGCCGGCCAAGUGUAAACAGUCGCGUAGGUGACUCCUCGCAGUACGCUCACAGCAAUACGGCCUACACGCAGUAAUCGCCACGCUCCGUAUACAAGUGCGACAUUGGAAAUCCUCGAGACGGUUCUGUUUAAUCCUGUGCGUCCGACACAACGGAUCGCAUCCUUGAGAACGCUGGCAUCCAUACCGAUCGUCCUUGCAAACAUCAUGAUUACGAGACCGAACAUAACUUGGGGGACGCAACGCGUCUCAAAGCAAUAGAUAGUCUCAAAGCGCAUGGCAUCGCAACAUUACGUCUGCUAUCGAAGAAGAGCGAACGAAAAAGAAACGAAACAAGAAGAUACAUUGUUCCUAAUGGUUUGCUCGAGAAGCCGAUCAGUCUGCAGUGGCUGGCAACGGCAUUCUAUUUACGUUCCAUUUAAGAAGCUCACGGUCUCCACGAGUCGCGUCGUUUCAAGCAACAAAAAACGACGCGUCGUGGCGAAACGUACUGGCAGCGCAGCAAAGAAGGCAGUUUAACGCUGCUAAUCGACCUAAAGUGAACACGACGUAUGCCCCUUUAUCUAUGAUUCACGUCAGCCUAAAGUUAUUACGGUUGACAACCGUCGGAAUGAAGAUCUUGCAAAGUAUGACGUUUUACGAACAUACGAUGGAUCUCGGAUUCAAACCUUCUUCCUUGGCUGCGACAAAUCUCACAUGGAUCGGCCGACGCUGAUAAGGCAAGUAACUAUGGCCCCUUUCAGUUUUGUUUCGAAAUACCAAGCAAAUCAAAGGAGAAAAUAUCAGAACUCGCUUAAGACACGAUUGUAACGUUGCUGGAACGUAACGUUGCGCGACUAAUAUAUGUAUACUACAAUAGACAUAUUGAUAUUAUAAUAUUUGAUCUCUCUCUUUCUCUCUCGCGCGCGCGAAGCUAUACAACAUAUUAAAAUAUUCUCGAACGUAACUAUGCUUUGCAUUCUCUCUAGUGCGACAGAUUACAAUGGAAAUAUAGAGAAAUUGCCACCGUUCUACGUAUUUACAUGCUCUUAAUAAAAAUUCCAGCACCGAUAAAGCUUUUAAUACCGUCACAGCUCUAUACGUUCACUCGCAUAGGUUUUAUCAUAUAAACGAACGUCGGUCUCGCGGCAAAAGUCAGCGACUGCGAUUCUUCUUUUCGGCUAGUUUGAGGUAGAUGGCUUGUGAUGAUGACGGACUCGUUGUUUGUGAGGAAAAAGAGGUCUGCUUACACUUUAAUGCGAUUCCUCCUGCGGCUUUCCUUCUCCCUUUUCCCUUCGUUGCAAAAUCGGAUUGCAGUUGAACGUUAACAGAAUUGUCAGUAAAGGCCAAUGAAGCUUGUCGAAAGAGUCUUUCUCUCCAAAUCUUCGCGACGUCAGUCAGUGACUUUUUACUCUUAAGACCGACGGUGUAACCGAUAUAAUAUCUACACAGAACGUCGAAGAUCACUUUCUCCUGUAUGAUACUUUUCUUAAGUAAUAUCACGCUGAAAACUUUCGAGACUUUAUGCGUCACGAUCGAUUCUUGAUUUCUCUGUUCGCGUUCUCAUACUACAUAAUCGUGUUAGGAAAUGAUGUAUAAAACAAUAAAUAGGCACUCGUGUUCUGAGAUUUCACUUGACUUGGUGACACUUCGGUGACAGUCUGAUCAUCGUACUUAUACCAUCUGCAAAUACAUAUAUACCAGUGAUUACGAUUAUAAUUAUCAAUCUGUCCAGUUGUAUAGAUACAUAAGGACUGAGUCUCCAGAAAAGAUGUGUAAAAGAUCACAUCCAAAAUAAAAGUUUGCAAGAUGCACACAAGAUCCGUCGUCCUGUCGAGUUCCCUUUAUUAAUUUUAUUUUAGUUAUUCUUAAUCCGUGAGGAACUCAGACAAGUCGUUCUUGUGUGCAAAUACAAAUACGUACUUAUUUUGAGUGGCGUUUUUGCAAAAGGCCGUAUAGUGACCGCCGUCCAUCGUCCCAUAGUGAUUGGACAUCGCGUACAGGGUGUAAUUGUAAUUGCGAAUGUUGUUCGACAUCGCCGUCGGGUUCUCAAACACGAGGUACGGCUUCAGAUUGAAUCCAACGAGGGGAAAGUCGACGGCGGUGUUUCGCUUCUCCAGCCAUCCGCCGCUCUCGGCGAAACGAUUCAAAUGAAUCACGACGAUGGGAGCGAGUUUGACGAAGUCAAACUUCUUCGUCGCGUCGCGAGGCGUCUGGCACUUGGGACAUUUCCAUCCGAUCACCUUUUGCCCCGUGACGAACUUUUCCAUACAGUCCUGAUAGAGCAAAGCAAAACACUUUCACACGAGGGACAUAAUCGGGGAGCAAGCGUGUCUCUAUGUUUAGUACACCGAUUGGAGUGAGACAAGGACAUCGUUAGACUGUUAAAUGUCUCGUACGUGGUGCUCGCUUGCUUGCAAAAUGAACAUGUAAUAGUGGACCUCAACUGGCCGAAAAAUAAGUCUGAUAUUAUGGAUUUUUGAGAAUUCAUCGCCUUGUCCCAUUCUUUCUCCGCGUUGGUCAUCUCGAUUGGCAUUUUCGAUUCCUACGAGCAAAAAAGACAACACCCCCGACGUUUCCAAACGAUUUGGGAUCCGGUAAACGUGCGCACAUCAAAUGUUGCACGAACACUGAUCGUGGAAGUAAUCGGUAAUAGAAGUUCACCUGCCGAUUGGAUUGAGAAACCCUACACGUGUUAAGUCGCACUGCGCGCUUUACACGUUCUACGUGCGCACAUUACCCCUAUAUGAUAUCGCACGUGACACUGGAACGCGUGCACCACGAAUGACAAAAUUUCGUCGUUCCUUCGGAACUUUAUGCGAAAAUCAUUAGACACGUGUCGACUAGCCGACACGCGUCUACCCUUGCAACGAAUGGUAUGUGGCGACACCAUUACACUCACCUGAUCUUCCCAAAUUACUGGAAUUAUUUAAAAAUUUUUGGUCAUGCCUCUCAAGUAAAAGUCUAUAUAAUAACUGCACUGAUCAAUACUUUCUCGAUAUACUCUACGAGAUAAAAAUAAAAAAAAAAAAGGAGAAAAUAGAAGGAAGAAAGAGAGAAAUAAUUAACUUCAGCAUUCCAGAAAUAAAAGAACGAAAUCAGAAGGAAUAGAAGUAGAGUUAUGUGUUCCCUUACAACUAUAUCCACGUACUCGAGACACUGCGCCUAUGGUAAAUAGUACUUUACAUAGUAUCCCCCUCAUUGUUAGAUUACUGCACUAUGGUCAUGCCGAUAUUAAACUUGCAGUUCGACUUCAUUCACACGCGAUUAUAAUGCCAAGCGUUAUAUGAAAUGGAAGAUCGAGAACCCGACACCGUGAUUAGUCUAGAUUGAUGAUUUUUCGAAAGACGGACGCUCGUCCCUCCGAUGCUCGCGACAGUGAAAGCGAAAGCUGCGAUCAUUUUUGCAAGGCCGCGAUCGACCUCGCCGGUAAAGCGCCCGCGCACAAUCUUGUCCGAAUUAAGUACUUACAACACUG